GGCAGCCGGUGGAGUUUCCUGUUAAGAUGAAUGACAGAGCUCAGAGGUGAUUUGUGCUCCCUGAGUCUCAAAGAACCUUUGUAAGAAUAAAGUUUGUCUGAGCCCAGCACUUAACACCCUACAGAGCAGGGGUGAGGUGAGCCACAAGGCCGGGAGCCAUGAAGAGGAGCCUGGGGACUCUGCUGGGGCUUUUGUGGAUCCAGGUUUGCUGGGUCAGAGGGCUGCAGGUGGAGCAGAGUCCUUCAGCCCUGAGUGUCCAGGAGGGAGCCAGCCCCACUCUACGGUGUAAUUUUUCUGACACUGUGACAAAUGUGCAGUGGUUCCGUCAGAAUCCCGGGAGCAGCCUCAUCAGAUUAUUUUACAUAGCUUCAGGGACAAAGGAGAAUGGAAGGUUGACGUCAACCCUCAAUUCCCGGGAGCGCUACAGCACCCUCCACAUCGCAGCCUCCCAGCUGGCUGACUCAGGCACCUACCUCUGUGCGGCAGAGGCACAGUGCUCCCAGGUCACCUGCUGCCUGCACCCAAACUGCAGCUGGGCCUGCAGCCCCACCCCUCUCUGAGAGGCACAUGGCUUCUACAGCAGUAUUUGCACUGCUUGGUGUUUCCUGCUUGAGGCUGGAGCAUUUUCAACUCUGGACAGUGACCACCAUGAACAGUCUUAGAUCCUAGCAGAUACACAACAUUACUUUGCAUUGGUUUAAGUGUUUCAAGUUUUCUUCAGCAUCUAAGAACCAAUGCUCAUAGGCCAUUAGAGAUAAAACUAACCAGAUGACCUCCUUCAGUAUUGAGGCUUCCUCAAAGGAUGCACACCAGGAGGAAAAGCACCUGCAGGGUAAU